GGUUGUGGCUCAGUGGUAGAGCACCUGCCUAGCAUGUGGGAGGGACUGGGUUUGAUCCUCAGCACCA
rnacentral:tRNA from 1 species